rnacentral:rRNA from 1 species
GAUUAACGCUAGCGGCAGGCAUAAUACAUGCAAGUUGAACGGCAGCACAGGUAGCAAUACUGGGUGGCGAGUGGCGCACGGGUGCGUAACACGUAUGCAACCUACCCUAUACAGGCGAAUAACCUUUAGAAAUGAGGGCUAAUACGCCGUAGUAUUACAGAUGGGCAUCUAUUUGUAAUUAAAGAUUUAUCGGUAUAGGAUGGGCAUGCGUCCCAUUAGUUAGUUGGUAAGGUAACGGCUUACCAAGACGAUGAUGGGUAGGGGAUCUGAGAGGACUUACCCCCACACUGGUACUGAGACACGGACCAGAAUCCGACGGGAGGCAGCAGUAAGGAAUAUUGGGCAAUGGCGGCGAGGCUGACCCAGCCAUGCCGCGUGCAGGAAGACGGCCUUAUGGGUUGUAAACUGCUUUUAUACGGGAAUAAUAGAGUGUACGCGUACAUUUAUGAAAGUAUCGUAUGAAUAAGCAUCGGCUAACUCCGUG